rnacentral:rRNA from 1 species
AUUGAACGCUGGCGGCAUGCCUUACACAUGCAAGUCGAACGGUAACAGGCCGCAAGGUGCUGACGAGUGGCGAACGGGUGAGUAAUGCAUCGGAACGUGCCCAGUAGUGGGGGAUAGCCCGGCGAAAGCCGGAUUAAUACCGCAUACGACUUGAGGGUGAAAGGGGGGGAUCGCAAGACCUCUCGCUAUUGGAGCGGCCGAUGUCAGAUGAGCUAGUUGGUGGGGGAAAGGCCUACCAAGGCAACGAUCUGUAGUUGGUCUGAGAGGACGACCAGCCACACUGGGACUGGGACACGGCCCAGACUCCUACGGGAGGCAGCAGUGGGGAAUUUUGGACAAUGGGCGCAAGCCUGAUCCAGCAAUGCCGCGUGCAGGAAGAAGGCCUUCGGGUUGUAAACUGCUUUUGUCAGGGAAGAAAUCUUCUGGGUUAAUACCUCGGGAGGAUGACGGUACCUGAAGAAUAAGCACCGGCUAACUACGUGCCAGCCGCCGCCGUAACAC